UACGUAGGUGGCAAGCGUUGUCCGGAUUUACUGGGCGUAAAGGGCGUGCAGGCGGUUUGUUAAGUGCAGAGUGAAAGCUCCCGGCUCAACUGGGAGAGGUCUUUGCAUACUGGCAAACUCGAGGGAGGCAGAGGAAAGUGGAAUUCCCGGUGUAGUGGUGGAAUGCGUAGAUAUCGGGAGGAACACCAGUGGCGAAGGCGGUUGCCUGGAGCUUUGCUGACGCUGAGGCGCGAAAGCGUGGGGAGCGAUCCGG
rnacentral:rRNA from 1 species